GGGAUCAAAGGCUUCCAGGAGUGGGGGGCAGGGAGCAGAGAGCAGGGCCUUCUUAGACCCCAAAGCCAGGAAGGGGUUCGAAACUCCUCGGAGUCUCUGGUUCUCAUCUGUGGAGAGACUCGCCCUCUCCCUGGAGGACAACUACCAGUGAGAGAGGACGGGAGUUGACAAAAGCCUAGCGCAGAGCACAGUAGGGAUGGAUUCUUUCAUUCAUCCAUUCCACAUUUUUUUUUUUUUUUGCUUUUUAGGGCCGCCCAUGGCAUGUAGAGGUUCCCAAGCUGGGGGUUGAACUGGAGCUCCAGCUGCCGGCCUACACCACAGCCACAGCAGCAUGGGAUCUGAGCCGCGUCUGUGACCCACACCACAGCUCACGGCAAGACCAGAUCCCCAGUCCACCGAGCGAGGCCUGGGCUGGAAGCCGCCUCCUCAUGCAUACUAGCUGGAUGUGCCUCCGCUGAGCCCUCUUAGGAACUCCCCAUUCCACAAACAUUAAUUUAGCAGCUGCUAUGGGCUGGGUGCUGUUCCGGGCACGGGGAAUAACACAAGGACGACGGCAUCCGAGGGCUAUCGAGACAAGCGGAGCAGGGGACGGGGUGGCGACAGGAGGAGGCAUGGCCAUCUGAAAUCGGGGCCGGGGGAGGCUUUCCUGAGGAGGACACGGCUGCAGCAAAGACCUGCGGGAAGCAAGGGGGCCCUGAGCGCGCGGAUCGCAGCAGAGGAGACGGCAAGUGCAAAGGCCUGACGUCAGGGUUUGAGGAACGGCGCGAAGGCCAGAGGCUCUGGGGCAGGAGACGUUGUUUGGGGCCACAUCAUGCAGGCUCUGAAGGCAUUUACAAGACCUCUGGCUUUUACGCAGAGUCAGGGAGCCCCUGGAGGCCUUCCAGACAAGAGGCGACACAAUCUUUAUAACCGAUCAAUACACUUCAGCCGCCUCUUCCCCUCAAAGCCGCAUUCACUACUCAGAGCCGCGCCCUCCAGCUCAUAUGCUUCCUCUUUUCUCGGAUUCCUUCCAGUCUUUCUAAAUCUAUCCCAACCAGGAGACCUCCUCAUGGUCUCUGCCAAGCGCAGGCUGGAAAGGGGCUUGGCGGAGAGACUGCGGUUGGGAAGACAGAGGAACAGAAGCCUUUGCCCUCCCUUGGUGCUUGGGAGGCCUCUGGGCCGGGCGCAGCUGCGGCGGGCACACCCACGGGGUGCACAGAAAUGCCAAGGACCCUGGCGGAGUCCCAGGGCUGCCACUUCAUCGGCGAGAGCUCGCCACAGAACUGGGGAUGCCGCUUGGCGCUUCCUCGCCCGGCCUGUCUACCAAGAGGUGAACUCACUUGUUUUAAAUUGAGGUGAUUGCUGUCUCUACCGGCAGCUCCUAACCUUUUGUUGGGUCCCCUGCCCCUUGGAGAAUCUGCGGAAAGCUACACGCUGUCUCUUCAGACGAGGAAGACAGGGUGCGCAUUCAUGCGCCUAUGACUUCAGGGCUGUCACAGAUCCCUGAAAAGUCAAGGAAAGCCUUGUCUAUGCCAGUGAUUUCCCAGGCUGAGGCUCCAGUGGAAUGAAUGAAUGAAUGAAUGAACAGGUGAGGAGCAGAGAAGCUGCACGCAGAUGGAGGAACCCAAGGCAGGAAAAGGACAGGUACGUGGCAUCUCUGGGCACCGGGCUUCCUGCUGAUGGUCCCGACGCCUUCAAAGAAGCCAGCUGAGUUGUGACAUGUGGUCAGGCCUGGCUGGACAGGUGUCCUCAGAGAGGUCACCUUUCUUGCUGAAGCUUCAUCUAUUGCUCUCGACCCGCCCCUCUGAGCAGCCGUCUUUCUAAAAAGUAUCACACACGUUCCUGCCAUUCCCAGGGCGCCCGGAACAAAGCAGAACCUUUUCUGGAUGACUGGGGGCAACAGGAGGCCACCACCUGCUGGUCUUCCGAGAGCUCUCAUCCCUCUGCCCGUGUCUCAGCACCCCAACCUCCUCAGAGGGACCCAGAGAGCUCUGUUUCCUGCCUUGGUAAAUCCAGUGGCGCCUACGACACCCAUGGCACUCAACCACGGCGCCUAUGACACCGCGUUUCUGAAUUCAGCCCUUACGGCACUGUAGUCCCAAGACACCAUCGAUGGUCAUUAUUCAAGGGUUGUGCCUGUGCAAAUCCACCUACUCACUAAAAUUGGCGUGGAACCCCAAAUCUAUGCUCGCGGUGCUUUCACGGUCACUGGCAGACAUAUGCAGACGAGCGAUCUGAGUUCCCCCGUAAGCGUGUCAGCAGCUGAGGCAGAAAGGGGAACGCUGCCUUCUUGCAUCCGCUCCCAUAUGACGACGAGUGUCCGGUUUACCGCCCAUGUAGCGUCAUGAACUUUGCAUUUUUGCGCUUUUCGUCAGUCAUUUCACCGGGACCCGCCUUACGGGGAAAACAAGGGCGUUAGAUAAGCUUCCUUCAGGCAAGACUCACAGGGCUGUUGGCUGGGAGUUCAAUGUCACGGAAUCAACAAUGUAUAUUAAAUGAGGUUGUGUGAGAAACACACAUAAAACAACGUUACACAUCAACAGGUGGAUAAAAUGCCGAGACCAGAGGCUCGCAGGCGCCCCACACCGUGUCUCCCUUAAUUUCACUAAAUCGGUGUCUGCAGACCGUCAUAGAACUGAACUACCACCACCAACGAGAAUCAGCGGGACUUUUCUAGAGACUCCGAUGCUCUCACCGUUUGGAACAUACCUUCCACAUUCCUUUGACGCUUUAAAAAAUAACCAUCUGCUCUUACAUGAAAAGCGCUUUUCCAGACCCAUAAACCAGGGCUCUAGAGGGCUGUGUCUCCGUGGACACUCGUCAUGUACCAGCCAACUGACGGACAAUUUGGUCAUUUCCUAUUGUCCACUAUUACAAGCGACACUAGGAUGAGCAUCCUUAUUGGCGAUAAGAAAACAGCCAACAUUUAUUCAGUACUUACUGUGGGCCCCGCCCUCUGCUAAGAGUUUUGUUGAGUCUCAUCUCAUUGAGUUUUGUGAAUAAGCUUACAUAUAAAUUUAUGCAUAUAAA
rnacentral:lncRNA from 9 species